GGGUGGUUGGCAGAGCGGUUUAAUGCACCGGUCUUGAAAACCGGCGAAGCUGCGAGGCUUCCGAGAGUUCGAAUCUCUCACCACCCGCCA
rnacentral:tRNA from 2 species